UACGUAGGGUGCAAGCGUUAUCCGGAAUUAUUGGGCGUAAAGAGCUCGUAGGCGGCUUGUCGCGUCGGAUGUGAAAGCCCGGGGCUUAACUCCGGGUCUGCAUUCGAUACGGGCAGGCUAGAGUGCGGUAGAGGAAGGUGGAAUUCCCGGUGUAGCGGUGAAAUGCGUAGAGAUCGGGAGGAACACCAGUGGCGAAGGCGGCCUUCUGGACCAGCACUGACACUCAAGCACGAAAGCGUGGGGAGCAAACAGG
rnacentral:rRNA from 1 species